rnacentral:lncRNA from 1 species
AGAUGUUGUGUGUGUAGUUCUGAGGCCUGUCUGUCGGAAAGGCUGUCUUUCCUUCAUACAUACCCAGUGGCAGCUGGAAUAGAAAGUUGGCUUCAAGUUUAGUUCCUUUGGGGGCACACAGGUUUUGCUCUGUUUGAUUUUAAAUAACCCACUGAUGCUGAGAGAGUCUGCCUCUUCAGGAUCUUUGUUCCUCUCUAGGUGACCUAGUUUUCUCUUAGCGAACAAGGGUUAUCUUCAAAGUGUCCCCCUGCUCUGAGAGAGACCUUGCCUUUCAGAAGAAAGAUCCGCCGUGCUAAUUUCAUCUUAUCUGAAUGACAGAAAAUGAAGCUCCUUCCACCUCAGCUCACUCUUGCUUAGCCAUCAGGAGAGUCUCAUUUUCGUUCACUCUUUAAAACGUGUCCCAGUUGCUAGAGUGCUUUCUUAGCAUACAUAAUGCCCUAGGAUCACUCUUCAGUACCAAAAAAUGAGGGUGAAGGUGCACACCUGUAACCCUAGCACCUUGAGAGGCAGAGGCAGAGGAAUUAGAAGUUCAAGUUCAAGUAAACAGUGGGUUUGAGGACAAUUACAUGAGAAAAAAAUGAUACAUUUAAAGUCGCUAAGCUGAGACUGCCCCUCCCCCCUUCUCAUCUAUGUUACCCACAUAAUUUAUGAGGGAAGGAAGAUAAGUAAGCUUAUAUCUCUCACCUAAACCUAAAAGUUGCAUACCUCUUUCCAUUCACUUAAGUGGUUACUUAUGCCUCAGAGUGCCCGACCAAACAUCCUGGAGCUACCGGUAGUUGUGAGCUACCGGUAGUUCCCUGGGUGCUGAGAACUAAACCCCAGUCCUCUGUAAGAGUAAUGAGCACACUUAACUGCUAAGCCAACUUUCCAGCCCCCAAAUUAAAGGUUUUUGUUAAAAUUAAUUUUCUAUGAAAAUACCUUUGGCAGUUAAAUAAAAAUAAAAUCAGAAAUACUAUCAGGAGACAUUUGCUACCCCUUUAAGCUUCUUGUUGGCCACAGUAGUUAAAUGAUCGGCACCAAAAAGUCUGCAUUUUAGUUAGCUAUGUUAGUGAGUGAUUAGUCACACCAAAGGAUUUAUACCAUUUAAGUAUUGAUUCAAUUCUUCAAAGAAACUAUCCUCAAUUUUAAGCCUGCUUCAAAACAAAGCCAGGCUGAGGUCCUAUAAUGGAGUCUUGGGCAUAGUCAGGAUGAUCUUCACUGAAGUCGAGUCCCAGAUGAGGAAGCUGGACCAGAUGACUGCAGAUGCUGAGAAACAGCUUGCCAUCCUAGGCCUGUGAGCACACCAUGCCACUUAGCCACAAACUCAGUUAUCUCCCAACCAAGGGUAAAGCUAAUAUUCUCUGAGUAGGAAGGAGAUCAUAACGUUUGCAGGAAAAUCUGUGUUUUCUACCCUCUGUGCCAUAGGGAGAAAACUAGCGAGCACCUUUAACUAAGCAUGAAGUCAGACAUUAAAAGAUAUGUCUUAUUCUGCUUCAGCCUCUAUACUUUGAGAAAUCUUAUAUAUGAAUGAUGAUAGAAUGCUAAUAAUUGAAGCAGUUGGCUAAUUUGGUGCCAAAAUGUCAUGAAAAUUGUAACUUUUUAAGAAAGUCCUAUUGAUCUAGCAUGAAUAUUUGAUCUUUUCAUCUAAACCAAAUUUUUUUUACUUCCUUAAAAAUGUUUAUAGCUUUUCAUUAUAAAACAUCUUUUGAAAUUUUGACAACUUUCCCUGUGGAAAAUUAUUUAUGAUGAUUUACUUGAAGCUAGUUUAGAAUUUAUAAGGGUAAUAAAUAGUAUAGGAACUUUAUGGGUGAAAGUUCACAUAUAUGUUUUUUUUUUUUAAAGUGAGAAGCUCUUAAGUAUAGGUGGCCCUGAAUACUAGAAGUUGGGAGGCAGAAACAGGAGAUCUCUGAGUUAGAGGUCAGCCUGAUCUACAGAACAAGUUCCAGGAUGGCAAAGGCUACACAAAGAAACUCUGUCUUGACCUGUUCUUCCCACAAAAGCAGACAGAUGUCUAUUAAUUAGAGGCCAGCCUGGCUACGUAGUGAACUUCAGGCUAUAUAAUGAGAACCUUUAAUUUUUAAAAGAGGGAGGGUGAGAGAAAGAGAAAACAUAGGUGCCUUAAACAACAAUUUGCCCCAAACUGGAGCACAUGGUAGUGAUUCUAGUAUAGACAUGUAUGCUGUGACCAAAUGUAAGGUAAAAGUCUACAGGCCAUAGGAGCUUUUAGUACGAGUCCUUAACUCAUUAAAAAUAAAAACCAAGAGACUGUGGUCUACCUUGAGAACUAUCCCUAAAUGUUCUUUCUCAGUGGCAAAGCGUAGCAAUGCGAGAGUCCAGGUCCCUGGCGCAGCUUUUGGAGGCCUCGGAAGCUUUGAAUGCAGCUUGUCAAUACUCGGCCCAUUCACACGCAUGCUCGGAAGUCGCUCCCAGGUGCUCUAUAUAAAAAUGAAGCGGUGCACAUCUGGACAUGAGCACUGUUCUACUCGACGCACUUUUUUCCAGGUUCCCUGACAUCGAGGAUUGCCAAUGGCUUGCCAGCGAAGAGUCUGAUUUCUGAAACGAUAUUGGAGAAAUGUAGGUUCUACUAAAAUCAAGCCAGAGGAAAUUCGAUUCUAUGUAAAUCAAACUUAUUUAAAGAGUUAGUGUUUUUAAUUUGUGUGUAUGAGUGUUUUGUCUGUGCAUAUGUAAGUAUGCUAUAUGAUUAUCUGGUAAAGAGGGUGCUUGGUCCCCUGGAGCUGGGUUGUUAGCCUCUAUGUGGAUGCUGGGAACUGAAUCUAGGUCCUCUGCAAAAGCAGCAAGAGGCCUUAAUUACUGAGCCAUCUCUCUAACCAUUGUUGUCUUUAAAACUAAUUUGCUGGCUGGUGUUAUGCCAACCUAAUACAGGCUAGAGCCAUUCAGGAAGAGAGAACCUCAACUAAGAAAAUGAUCCCCCCAGAUUGGCCUGUGGGCAAGCCUAUGGUACAUUUUUUUUUUAAAUUGAUGCUUGAUAGGAGAGGGAUCAGCUCACUGUGGGCAGUGCCAUCCUUAGGAUGAUGUACCUGGGUGUUGUGAGAAAGACUAAUAAGUCAAAAGGAGCAAACAAGUAAGCUAUGCUCCUCCGUGGUCUCUGCUCCAGUCCCUGCCUCCAUGGUCCUGCCCUGACUUCCCUCAAUGAUGAACUUAAUAAGGUUAAAUAAACCCUUCACUUCCC